CUACGGGUGGCACCAGUGGGGAAUAUUGGGCAAUGGGCGCAAGCCUGACCCAGCAACGCCGCGUGAGGGAAGAAGGUUUUCGGAUUGUAAACCUCUGUCCUUGGGGACGAAGAAGUGACGGUACCCAAGGAGGAAGCUCCGGCUAACUACGUGCCAGCAGCCGUGGUAAUACGUAGGGAGCAAGCGUUGUCCGGAAUUACUGGGCGUAAAGGGUGCGUAGGCGGCAUAUUAAGUCAGGUGUGAAAUACUCGGGCUCAACCCGAGGGGUGCAUUUGAAACUGAUAAGCUUGAGUGUGAGAGAGGAAAGUGGAAUUCCUAGUGUAGCGGUGGAAUGCGUAGAUAUUAGGAGGAACACCAGUGGCGAAGGCGACUUUCUGGCUCAUAACUGACGCUGAGGCACGAAAGCGUGGGGAGCAAACAGGAUUAGAUACCCCCGUAGUC
rnacentral:rRNA from 1 species